AGAGUUUGAUCCUGGCUCAGAAUGAACGCUGGCGGCGUGCCUAACACAUGCAAGUCGAACGAGAAAGCCCAGCUUGCUGGGCAAGUAAAGUGGCGCACGGGUGAGUAACGCGUGGAUAAUCUACCUUUGUCUGGGGGAUAACCUACCGAAAGGUGGGCUAAUACCGCAUAACGUGAUCGUAUUGCGAUUUGAUCACCAAAGAUGGCCUCUCCAUGGAAGCUAUCAGGUAAAGAUGAGUCCGCGUCCCAUUAGCUAGUUGGUAGGGUAAAGGCCUACCAAGGCGACGAUGGGUAGCUGGUCUGAGAGGAUGGCCAGCCACACUGGAACUGGAACACGGUCCAGACUCCUACGGGAGGCAGCAGUGAGGAAUCUUGCGCAAUGGGGGCAACCCUGACGCAGCAACGCCGCGUGAGUGAAGAAGGCCUUCGGGUCGUAAAGCUCUGUCAAGUGGGAAGAAUAGCCUGAAGACGAAUAAUCUUGAGGUAUGACGGUACCACUGGAGGAAGCACCGGCUAACUCCGUGCCAGCCGCCGCGGUAAUUC
rnacentral:rRNA from 1 species